rnacentral:misc_RNA from 1 species
CUGGGUGGCGAAGCCGCCCCAAAACCAUUCACCGCGAUCCUUCAGACAGAAUGCGGUGUUCCGAUUGGGGCGGCUUCGCCACCCAG